AUGCACGCUGGCGGCGUGCCUCAUACAUGCAAGUCGAGCGAACAGACGAGGAGCUUGCUCCUCUGACGUUAGCGGCGGACGGGUGAGUAACACGUGGAUAACCUACCUAUAAGACUGGGAUAACUUCGGGAAACCGGAGCUAAUACCGGAUAAUAUAUUGAACCGCAUGGUUCAAUAGUGAAAGACGGUUUUGCUGUCACUUAUAGAUGGAUCCGCGCCGCAUUAGCUAGUUGGUAAGGUAACGGCUUACCAAGGCAACGAUGCGUAGCCGACCUGAGAGGGUGAUCGGCCACACUGGAACUGAGACACGGUCCAGACUCCUACGGGAGGCAGCAGUAGGGAAUCUUCCGCAAUGGGCGAAAGCUUGACGGAGCAACGCCGCGUGAGUGAUGAAGGUCUUCGGAUCGUAAAACUCUGUUAUUAGGGAAGAACAAAUGUGUAAGUAACUAUGCACGUCUUGACGGUACCUAAUCAGAAAGCCACGGCUAACUACGUG
rnacentral:rRNA from 1 species